rnacentral:rRNA from 1 species
UUCAUGGAGAGUUUGAUCCUGGCUCAGGACGAACGCUGGCGGCGUGCCUAAUACAUGCAAGUCGAGCGGACCGACGGGAGCUUGCUCCCUUAGGUCAGCGGCGGACGGGUGAGUAACACGUGGGUAACCUGCCUGUAAGACUGGGAUAACUCCGGGAAACCGGGGCUAAUACCGGAUGCUUGAUUGAACCGCAUGGUUCAAUCAUAAAAGGUGGCUUUUAGCUACCACUUACAGAUGGACCCGCGGCGCAUUAGCUAGUUGGUGAGGUAACGGCUCACCAAGGCGACGAUGCGUAGCCGACCUGAGAGGGGGAUCGGCCACACUGGGACUGAGA